rnacentral:rRNA from 1 species
AACGAACGCUGGCGGCAUGCCUAACACAUGCAAGUCGAACGAAGGCCUCGAGCUUGCUCGGGAUACCUUAGUGGCGCACGGGUGAGUAACACGUGGGAAUCUGCCUAGGAGUGGGGAAUAACCUCGGGAAACUGAGGCUAAUACCGCAUACGCCCUUCGGGGGAAAGGCUUCGGUCGCUCCUAGAUGAGCCCGCGUUGGAUUAGCUUGUUGGUGAGGUAAAAGCUCACCAAGGCCGCGAUCCAUAGCUGGUCUGAGAGGAUGAUCAGCCACACUGGGACUGAGACACGGCCCAG